rnacentral:rRNA from 1 species
GAUGAACGCUGGCGGCGUGCCUAAUACAUGCAAGUCGAGCGAACGGACGAGAAGCUUGCUUCUCUGAUGUUAGCGGCGGACGGGUGAGUAACACGUGGAUCACCUACCUAUAAGACUGGGAUCACUUCGGGAAACCGGAGCUAAUACCGGAUAAUAUUUUGAACCGCAGGGUUCAAAAGUGAAAGACGGUCUUGCUGUCACUUAUCGAUGGAUCCGCGCUGCAUUAGCUAGUUGUUACGGUAACGGCCUACCAAGGCAACGAUGCAUAGCCGACCUGAGAGGGGGAUAGGCCACACUGGAACGUAGACAGGGUCCAUGCUCCUAAGAGAGGCAGCAGUAGGGAAUCGUACGCAAUGGGCGAAAGCCUGACGGAGCAACGCCGCGUGAGUGAUGAAGGUCUUCGGAGCGUAAAACUCUGUUAUUAGGGAAGAACAGAUGUGUAAGUAACCGUGCACAGCUUGACGGUACCUAAUCAGAAAGCCACGGCUAACUACGUG